UGUUUCGGCAAGGGGGUCAUCCCGACUUACCAACCCGAUGCAAACUGCGAAUACCGGAGAAUGUUAUCACGGGAGACACACGGCGGGUGCUAACGUCCGUCGUGAAGAGGGAAACAACCCAGACCGCCAGCUAAGGUCCCAAAGUCAUGGUUAAGUGGGAAACGAUGUGGGAAGGCCCAGACAGCCAGGAUGUUGGCUUAGAAGCAGCCAUCAUUUAAAGAAAGCGUAAUAGCUCACUGGUCGAGUCGGCCUGCGCGGAAGAUGUAACGGGGCUAAACCAUGCACCGAAGCUGCGGCAGCGACGCUUAUGCGUUGUUGGGUAGGGGAGCGUUCUGUAAGCCUGCGAAGGUGUGCUGUGAGGCAUGCUGGAGGUAUCAGAAGUGCGAAUGCUGACAUAAGUAACGAUAAAGCGGGUGAAAAGCCCGCUCGCCGGAAGACCAAGGGUUCCUGUCCAACGUUAAUCGGGGCAGGGUGAGUCGACCCCUAAGGCGAGGCCGAAAGGCGUAGUCGAUGGGAAACAGGUUAAUAUUCCUGUACUUGGUGUUACUGCGAAGGGGGGACGGAGAAGGCUAUGUUGGCCGGGCGACGGUUGUCCCGGUUUAAGCGUGUAGGCUGGUUUUCCAGGCAAAUCCGGAAAAUCAAGGCUGAGGCGUGAUGACGAGGCACUACGGUGCUGAAGCAACAAAUGCCCUGCUUCCAGGAAAAGCCUCUAAGCAUCAGGUAACAUCAAAUCGUACCCCAAACCGACACAGGUGGUCAGGUAGAGAAUACCAAGGCGCUUGAGAGAACUCGGGUGAAGGAACUAGGCAAAAUGGUGCCGUAACUUCGGGAGAA
rnacentral:rRNA from 1 species